rnacentral:rRNA from 1 species
GGUCUGCAACUCGACUACAUGAAGCUGGAAUCGCUAGUAAUCGCGAAUCAGAAUGUCGCGGUGAAUACGUUCCCGGGUCUUGUACACACCGCCCGUCACACCAUGGGAGUCGGGAAUGCCCGAAGUCAGUGACCCAACCAUAUGGAGGGAGCUGCCGAAGGCAGGUCUGAUAACUGGGGUGAAGUCGUAACAAGGUACC